AUAUCUUAUUCCAUAUUCUCUUUGUGUGCAACCUUGCUAAUGCUAUGUGUUGUGACUUCAAAGUUCUAUUUCUUUAAUAGAUUAUGGGCCCACUCACCUUUAGUUGUGACUUUUGAAGUUCUUUGAAGUCUUUGUUUUUAUGACGAGUAGAUCUUAUGGUUCUUGCUGAUGUUAGGAUUUGAUAUCUUCUAAAUCUCUUUUUGCAUCUAGUUAUUGAUGUAGUUAUGCUCUUACUUGUUGUUCAAUGCAUUCAUAGUCCUUGAGAUUGUUAUUCACUUUAGAAUGUUGUUUUAGAAUACUAAUGGUAUAUUUC
rnacentral:lncRNA from 1 species